rnacentral:rRNA from 1 species
GUCUAAGGCCAUGCCACCCUGAACAAGCCUGAUGUCUGAUCUUGGAAGCUAAGCAAGGUUGGGCCUGGUUAGUACUUGGAUGGGAGACCACAUAGGAAGGCCAGGUGCUGUAGGCA